UCAGUCACACGAUAUUUUUUUUUUUUUUUGGGCUGAAUAGUCACACACGAAUUUAAACACACCCGGCAAUGGCUUCUCAUCCUAGUUUAAGUUUAAGCUGCUUACCAACUCCAACUAUAUCUUGUUUCAUUUCCUCAAAAACCCAAUUACAAAUUGGCUUCAAGUCGAAGCUUUUUGUAUUGGGUUCACCAAAACCCAAGAGGGUUUCAUUAUCAAUCCGUGCAAUGGGCUCCUCAGCUUCUUCCCAGAAACCAGACAGCAUUCAAGAGGCAGGAAGCAUUGACUAUAAAUCUCUAAGUGAUGAAGAAUGGAAGAAGCGGCUCACAGGGGAACAAUUUUACAUUACUCGUCAAAAGGGGACCGAGAGAGCUUUCACUGGGGAAUACUGGAACACCAAAACCCAUGGAACUUACAAUUGCAUAUGCUGUGACACUCCUCUAUUUGAAUCAUCUACUAAAUUUGAUAGUGGAACUGGCUGGCCUUCUUAUUACCAACCUAUAGGAAGCAAUGUAAAAUCAAAGUUAGAUUUGUCAAUUAUUUUCAUGCCUCGCCAGGAAGUUCUGUGUGCUAUUUGUGAUUCUCAUCUUGGCCAUAUCUUUGAUGAUGGUCCACCUCCCACAGGAAAGCGUUAUUGCAUCAAUAGUGCUUCCCUGAAAUUGAAACCGAAGCAGUAGAGAGGGGCAUACAAGCAAACCAGAAAGAUAUUAUUGUUGUAUCUGCACAUUCUCUAGCCCCUGCUCUUUAAGUCUUGUGACAACUACAUAAUCUUUUUUUAUUUUAUGAAAGACUUGUAACUUUAUUAAGUUGAAGAGAAAUUCAAUAUAUCUUGAGCCAAAGCCAACUCAAUGAUACCUGAAUUUUCCUCCACCCAAGUUACAUAAUUACUAAUCCCCUUGGCAUUUGAACCAAAAUAUGCGCCGGUUUA